UACCGCUUCUCUUCUCUUUGUCACCAACACUCUUCAGUCAUUUCUGCGUAUCUCUCCCUUGAAAUUAAUCUGCAUCAGUUAGGAUCACAUCUCCACUUCUUCUAGCAAAUGGAUAUUCAUAUUCGCAUAACGCUUCUUUUCUAAAACCCUAAAUUUUUCCUUUUGGUUUACUCAUCUCCAAUCCUGGAUACAAACCCUAAUCUCUACUAAGCCGUUUCAUCAGAUCAUAUUGCUUCUUCAACAAUUGAUAUUCAUUUCAAUUCUUAAUCUAUCGUUUUCUUCGUCAAAUAGAUGGGUAAGUCCACCAAAAUGAAAUACGAAGCCCUAGGUAUCAGCCACCGUGUUCCUCAUUCUUCUUCCUUAUGAUUCAACUCAAACCCUAACUAUUAGCCACCGUGAUCCUCAUUCUUCUUCGUUGUUCUAUGAUUCAAAGUCUACAAUUGAUCGAGGAUUUUGUGUGUUGAAUUUUGGGUUUGGUGUGUUCAUUUGUGAUCUUCGAAGCCGUUGAUGGUGAUUGAAGACUUGAAAAGUUUUACUUUUGUGGUUGGUUCUUGCGCACACAUAAACUGUUUAUGUGAAUGUUAUAGGGUUAAUUCCAUGAUUUAUGAUGUUGGACUGAAGUUUCAGAUACUGCUAUAUCUUUUGAGUUCUUUGGAGGUUGCUUCACUUUCAGGGAAGGACAAGAAGCUUUUUGUUGAGUAAUACAUGGCUCUUAAUGAUGAUGGGUGCAGUGGCAACUGCUGCUGAUUUCAUCAGGUGCUGAUUUCAUCAGGUAUCUUACUUAAAUAUAAGUCAGUUAAAUAACAAAUGUGUGACAUUCUUAGCCACUGAUACAAGUAGUGGAUGUUGAUAAGUUUGUUUUCCUGACCUUACUGAUGAUAAUAAUGUGAUGUUCGAUUGAAAUGUGGCUUAUAAUAAUAGCCCUGUCAUUUUCAGUUUCUUCAUUUUGAUAACAGGUUUGAUGAAGUCGAUUACAGGUAUGCAUGAAGACAUUUUUCUCGAGAUUAACUUCCUCAGAUUUGCAGUUUUUAUAAACAUCAUGCUUGAUGCUUGCAUACUUUUCUUAUUUAUGACACUGCACUCAUUAGAAAAUGUUAUGCAUGUAGGACCAAUAUUCAUAUCUCAGUUUGGUAUAAGUUACAUGGACUCACCACUUUAUGAAACCUUAGUUCUGUAGAUAAUUUAUAUCCAUUUAUCUUUCCAUUAUAUAAUUGAUAAUAGAGUGAAAAAGGUCAAAUCUAUUUCUAAUAAAGGUCUCAAAAGAUGCAUCAUCCGCCCCAGAUGCGUUUAAGUUGUUCAAUGAUCUAAAAGGAAAAGGUGCAUAUCAUACUAAAGCAUUAAAACAUUUUCUAUUUCAUAUCUUUUUUUAUCUUACAAUUAUUCGUUUCCCAUUUUAUUGUUAUUUCAAUGGGAUGUAUUUGAGAACAAGUCCACCGUCAUAGUCUAUUGUGGAGAGCAAUUGUUGCAAUUUGGCUAUCUUCAGUUCUUAUUGGUGAUAUCAGUUUUGUACCCUUUGUAAGUAAUAGCAUAAGUUAUAUUAAACUAUUAUACUUUGAAACUGUAAUCUUCUUUUUCUUACAAAUAUUAGCAUAAUUUUAGAAAAAUAUAUACAUAACUCAUAAAGGUUGGUCAUGCAUCUACUGAGCAGCUCACUAAAUAUGUAUUGUAGUGCGAAUGGCUGAUAUAUGCAACAUGGAGGUUGGUAGCUUAUUUUUCAUCAAUACUUCAUUGUGUUGGAGCAAGUGAAAAGGUUUUUCAGCUAAUUUAAUUUGGAUGUCUUGCAUAGCUGUCAAUUUUUAACAAAAGGCAUGGAAAUUAUUAUAUUAUUUCAUUCAAUUUUCCCUUCUUUUAGGACUGCAUCAUCAUAAAUAAAUAUAUAUAUUUUGCUGUCAUCUUGAUGAUGCAUUUCAGGGAGCCAAUUUUGAUGCAAAGAGCCCCUCUCUAUAGCUGGUACAUUCUUGUGCAAGGAGCUCAUUAUUUCAUUUUAUUUCUUUGCUCAGGACCAUCUAAGUUGUGUAUUUAUCUAAAGUAGGUGGGUCACGAAGGUUGGGUAACUGGUCAGAUUGGGUUGGCGUAAAACAUGUAAAGUUAGAGGGUGAGUCAAGACAGUGGAGUUUACUGCCAUCACUUUGUUGUUCAGUUUUCUAAUUACAUUAUUUUUUUAAUUAAAUAUGAUCAUACAAUAAAGCGUUGAAUCGUAUAAGCACCAACGAUCCAAAAGGUGUGAAGCAUCUUUUACCCUAUGCUUUUCAUAGUUCUACUUAAGUGUGUUUCAAUGCCAGGGAUUGAUUUAGGGUUGAAUGGGAGAAUUGCUCAGGACAGUGGAAUGCUACAUCUCCAUUAAAGUCGCGUCCCACCGUCAAGAAAGUGCCAUAGAGCAAGAGCAGCAUGGGUGGGGAGGGGAGUUUUGGUUGUUAUGAUGAGAGAGAAAGAGAGAGCAUGGGUAAAAAAAGAAGUUGAAGGGGUGGAGGAUGGGUGGCAUGCGGGGUCUUGGAAACGCACACGACCCACUGGGACCUACUGUUGAUAUCCUUAAUGAUUAACUAAGCUCAAUAAUAUGGAUCGAUGAAAAGAUGGAAUCAAGGGGCAGAUUGCGGGUUCUUGCGAAAAUGGGAGAGGAAGUGGUGGUGGUAGUGAGCGGUGAUGGCUGGUGGGUAUAUCCUUCUAAGAGCAAACUGCAUGUGAGUUAUAUUGUAGUUAACUUUAUUGUAGUUCCAAAGCACUAUUCCCAACUCACCUUAUACUUUUAGUUAUAUGUUUCACUUUAAUUUGUUAAUAGACAUGAUGGGUAUAUCCUUCUAAGAGCAAACUGCAUGUGAGUUGAAUUUAUUUUACUAGAUGUAUCUUUCAUAUGCAGAGUAUGUAAUUAUAAACUAUUUUUAGUUAGAGUAUGUAAUUAUAAACUAUUUUUAGUUUAGAACCAUGGAGCAAGAUUCUCUUUGGAAGU